CCUGGCGGCAAUAGCGCUGUGGAACCACCUGAUCCCAUGCCGAACUCAGAAGUGAAACGCGGUAGCGCCGAUGGUAGUGUGGCAUUCGCCAUGCGAGAGUAGGACACUGCCAGGC
rnacentral:rRNA from 3 species